GGCGAUAGCAAAUUUUAUUUUAUACUAACUGGUUCUGAUUUUAAUAUUUUCAUAAUAUUUUAAUGCUUUCAGAACGUCAAAAAAGAGACAUGUUGUUAUUUUGUCUAAGUUAUCUCUAUAACAUAAAUAUGGGGAUAAACAGUGCACACAUCUCGUUUUAUAUAAGCAUUAGCAGUUUAUUCGGACAACCGCUAUGCUUUAUACGUAUAUAUCUUUUGCUCGAUCAAACUUUAAGUGGGCAUUGAACAGUUGGUGAUGACUGACCUCGGAAACAAGGAGAGUUCAGACCGGCGGGAACCGAAAAAUGUCUGGAUGGCUCUCCUGUGAUCUGAUUUUAACCUAGAGGAUCUUUCUCAUGCAGGAUUGUACAUUAUUGCAAUGUGAAUUCGCUGAAAGAAGAAUCGAGUUUAUGCCGCCGAAUUUAAAUUCUGAUUUCUGUACAGGUGGCCGUACGAUGUCUGUACAAGCUUUGCCCGAUACCUAGAUGAUAACUGAAUAUUGCUCAGUGCCUUUUCUGACACUAGAUGCCAACACAAUUUUAUUCAAAAUCGGACGAUGUUUUUUACUGUAUAAAACCUUCACCCGAUUUACCCUUUUCCACUCAGAAGCAAAUUAAAAAUGCAUAUGUGCAAACGGCAAAAAACUAGAAAAGCCUGCGAGUAACACGCAGUCUGUUCAGGUUUUAUGCUGUUUGCUGCUCAUCAGUAUCUAAGGGUUGGAAAUGAAGUCUUUAAAUUUGAAUUUAGUAAGAACGGUCUUUAAUUUAAUUUAACUUUCUAUGGGACUACAAAUGCGUCAAAAUAUGUUCCUAAGUGGUAAAGGGUUAUAUAUGUACAACCACUUCAUCUGUUGAGUUGUUCUAAUGGCGUGUUGCACCUUUCUGAGAUGUGAUCAGGUGAUAUGGUAAGGUGUGAAACUUGAUUGUUUAUACCAUUGGUUGUCGGGAUAUUGAAUUGGAUGGAUGCGUAGUUCACCUUAUAAGGUAAAUAUGAAUAUGUGUUACGCAUGCUGCAUUGGUGUGUGCUUUGCAAUUGAGACGGUGCUUGUGAGAAAGAUACGUUUUUAGAAUGUGUUUAGUUAAUUGAAAAUAAUACACAAUUAAGAUGUAAAACUAGUUGAUACAAAACAUUUUAGGUGACUAAUUUACCGCUCGAAGUAUAAAAAAAACAUGAAGAUAUUUAUCAAAAUAAGCAUAAACUUAAUACAAAUUUGAAUGUGUUGUGUAUUCCCCAUGAAAAAGAUAGGUAUUAAACAAUUCACAUGUGCGACUAAUACUUGAAUGGUUCGUUUUGAACUUUCAACACUGUAAAUUAUCGUAAUUUGAAGGUUUUCGCGCGGCAACUAAUUUGCAAUAAAGAUAGCACAUUGUCAGUUGGAACACUUUUAAACUUUAAUCAAUAGAUUUGGACAGCAUAUAUUGGGGAAGAAUUCUAUGUCUGUAUCCAAUAUACGUCGUGGGUGGUAUCUCUAAAAUAUUUGUGUUCAACAGCUGUUCGUGAAUUGGGAUAAGGGCAGUAACUCUACAUGGGCUCCGAUACACCAUGGCCAACCAUUGAAGGUCACCUAUACCGGACUGAAGUAUGGACCGUUAUCUCUGUCAUUGCUGUGGAUACAAAGAUAAGUGAUAUCAUUUUUAAAGGUCAAAGAUGACGUUAGACCUGUAUGCUUAAAGAGAUAAUUGUGAUGUGCGAUUGACGUUUACUUUCUUUCGUAAGCAUUACUGCUGUUGGUAUGCAGAAAGACAACACUGUCCAUUCGACUUAAUUUAUAGAGCAAGGACGUUUUAACUUUGUUGGCGCUCAAACUCGGGCAAGGCUCCUCAGUUUACAGCGAGGGACACACUUUUUUGCCCGCAAGCGUAAACACACUGACGUGAGUCGAUGGUGCGAAAGCGAGUCCGAGUCAGCGUAAACAAUGUUUAAACGCCUUAGCUCUGAAAAUCAAGUCUAAUCGAUAGCGUGUUCGUUCUGUUUAACAACAGCAAUACUGUUUACCAAAGGCAGUAACUGUCCGUGCAUUGGAAUAAGGGCAGGAACUCUACAUGGGCUCCGAUACACCAUGGCCAACCACUGAAGGUCACCUAUAACAGACUGAAGUAUAGAACGUCAUCUCUGUCAUUGCUAUCAGUUUCCAGUUCGUGUCAGAUGAGACCCUAACAUCCGGUUCAACUGCUGGAGAAGUAUGGCGCAACGUUUACGGAUGCCAUGAAGAUUCCUCAAUUUAGCCGAUCCUUGGAGGCUGAACAUCGUUGCAUAUAAAAGAAAUUGGAGCGACUGAUUAAUAUUUUUAAUAUUUAUGUGUUAGAAUACCCGUUAAAUACAAACUCACAUGCCUAA